GGCUUGGUAGGCAAUCGGCAGACCACUCUCGCUUAGAACGAGAGAUGCUGUGGGUUCGAGUCCCACCUGAGCCG
rnacentral:tRNA from 1 species